rnacentral:rRNA from 1 species
AACGAACGCUGGCGGCAGGCUUAACACAUGCAAGUCGAGCGAAGACUUCGGUCUUAGCGGCGGACGGGUGAGUAACGCGUGGGAACGUGCCCUUCUCUACGGAACAGUCCUGGGAAACCGGGUUUAAUACCGUAUACGCCCUUUUGGGGAAAGAUUUAUCGGAGAAGGAUCGGCCCGCGUUGGAUUAGGUAGUUGGUGGGGUAAUGGCCUACCAAGCCUACGAUCCAUAGCUGGUUUGAGAGGAUGAUCAGCCACACUGGGACUGAGACACGGCCCAGACUCCUACGGGAGGCAGCAGUGGGGAAUAUUGGACAAUGGGCGCAAGCCUGAUCCAGCCAUGCCGCGUGGGUGAUGAAGGCCCUAGGGUUGUAAAGCCCUUUCAGCGGGGAAGAUAAUGACGGUACCCGCAGAAGAAGCCCCGGCUAACUCCGUGCCAGCAGCCGCCGUAAAAC